rnacentral:piRNA from 3 species
UUAUCAGUUUAAUAUCUGAUACGUCC